UACAGAGGGUGCGAGCGUUCAUCGGAAUUACUGGGCGUAAAGCGUGCGCAGGCGGUUCUGUAAGACAGGGGUGAAAUCCCCGGGCUCAACCUGGGAACGGCCUUUGUGACUGCAUAGCUAGAGUACGGUAGAGGGGGAUGGAAUUCCGCGUGUAGCAGUGAAAUGCGUAGAUAUGCGGAGGAACACCGAUGGCGAAGGCAAUCCCCUGGACCUGUACUGACGCUCAUGCACGAAAGCGUGGGGAGCAAACAGG
rnacentral:rRNA from 1 species